rnacentral:piRNA from 1 species
UCCUGAGGCUGUGAUCAAAGAUGAGG